rnacentral:lncRNA from 1 species
AUUGUCAAAUAGCAGCACACCUAUUUACGCUUAACAAUAUGCAUGCACACAACACCAAAAACAGAGACAAUUUUAUUAUUUCCUAAGAUAUGGCUCAUACGAUGCUGGAAUCCCUUUUGUAAAAUAACAUAAUAAUAAAAAAAGACCCUGAAUUAAUAGAAAAAUCUAAUCAAAGCCUCUUUAUCUUUCCAAGGAGCUGGUGUGAAUUCAGAGGGGCAGCUGUAUAUCACGGGCCUGUGUCUCUCAAAUAGAUAAUCAAUUUCCAUGAAGGCAUCAAUAAUCAUAGCCUGACGUUUAUGACCCUCUGGAUGGUUUAUCUUUGGGGCUAAGAGGGACAGCAGGGGCAAUGACAAAUGCCAAGGCUGUCACGGAAGACAAUUAAAUGGCACAGGGGUAAAGGAUUUAAUAUUAUAGAAAUAUAUAUGAAGCAAUCCAGUCCAUUCAUAAUUGAACAAGAUAGUAUAAAGUAUAUAGGGAUAUAAAUAUGACAUUUGCCUGCUUGAAUAAACGCUGGCGGUUUAGCCAGGGGGAUAGGCGGAGGGGAGGCGGGCCUGGAAAUCUGCUCUGCGCCUGCCUUUCAGACUUGGAGUGAACUUCAGCUAUCAUGGUUAUGGAGAAAUGCUUGAACACGCAUGAGUAGCGUCUGCCAGAGAUUCAGGACUCGGCACACUCGAGCCGGCGCACAAGUGGAAAUGGAUUUAGGGCUGUGGAAUUGAAAGCAUAUGCAGGCUGGAGCUGAAAGAAAAAUGAGAGUGGGGGAUUUUCAUGCUCUUGGCCAGAAUGAGCUUGUUUUAAAGUUUGAUUUUAUCAGUCGUAUCUUAUGCAUAGUUUGUCUAGUUUUAUGUGCACGCUUGGAGGUUUUUGCUAGUUAAGUAGUAAUCCGGGCAGGUAGGAUUGUAUCCAACUGAGUUAAUACUCUGAGCCGGAUCCAUUGACGUGAUCGAAGCCGAGUUAGCCAUGCCCAUUCAUCUCAAUGGGUCUACUCCGAGUAGGACUAGCAUACAACCCAGUGGAAUUGAGGGAUCCAAGUUGGCCAUGCCUGUCAUUUUCAAGGAGUCUUCUCUGAGGAGCACUAACGCCAUAAGCUUUGCUUUUUUUAAAAAAAAACACAACACCUAACAUUCCAGAGCAUUUUUCUUUCCUUCCAAUAUUCCCAAUUAAUUGGCGAGUUUAUAGUUAAGGAUUUGGCAACAGAGCACAGGAAGUGGAGAAUCACUGUACAUAACUAGUUACUACUUCACAUCAUUGACUCUCGUUCAUCCUUAAGAAUUUUUAAAAGUAUCCCCUGGACUCUAGUUACAAAAAUGUCCUUUAAAAAUUGUGAUUCCAAAGGUUUUUGUGUGUGUUUGUGUGUGCAUGUGUUCAUGAAUUCUGGAAUUUUUUUUCUCCUGUGCACAAGGUAGCAGCAUUUCAUCCCAGCACCAAAGCAAGUUACGUAAGGAGAAAAGAGAGAAGGCAGUGGCGGUUCUGGUAGGUGGUGACUUGUCAGCAUCUCCUGGACUAUGUGCAGGAGACUUAGCUGUCCGCUGCCUUUCCCAUUCCCCCCAUGAUCCAAUGCAGUUUUCAGCUCAAGCAGCAUACCAUAUUAUCCAUACUGUAGUUGGGUGGACGAGAUCUGGAUGAGCAGAAAGGUCGCAGGCAGGGGGAAUGUGUCAGAAAAUGAGCAGAGAGAGACCGAAAAAGAAACAAGGUCAUGGGAAGCUUUUGAAGGUGAGGGCGAGAAGCUAAGGCAGGUGCGGAGGACAGAACUGGCAGCUUCUGGGAACUACAGGUGAGGAGAGUUACUAUUUCAUUGACCUAUGUGAAAGCAUCACAGGUUGGCACAGACUUGGUUGCUCUCUGUAGCUGCCUUGGGGGGUAUAUAUACAUAUCAUUAUAAUAAACAAGUGGAACCCAAAUUUAUACAUAGUGUCAUUUUUUGAAGGUCCCCCUGGGCUUAAAUUUGGAAUGGUGGUCUUGGGGAGUCUAAGCAUGCUCACCUUGUAGUUGUUGUAUUUCUAAAGCAGCGGGUGAAACCAGUAGCAGAGCUUUGGAUAAGUCCAGCAGCCUUAUUACAAGGGGGAGACUAUGCUGCUAUGCCUCCAAAAUUCAAAACCCAAAGGCUUGGCUCACAUGCGUAGCGCAGUUGGUUAGAGCGUGCUGUUAAUAACACCAAGGUUGCCGGUUCGAUCCCCGUAAGUGAUAGCUGCAUAUUCCUGCAUCGCAGGGGGUUGGACUAGGUGAUUCUCAGGAUCCCUUCCAAUUUUAAAAAAGAUUAUAUGAUUCUAUUACAAGCACUUUGUUCUGCCCUUUGCUUCUAGCUCUGGGUCCAAAUUUCCAUUACAUUCUUCUUCUCCUUUUUACUUUGGAUGAGCUGGAAAUGGUUUCUUCAUUCUUUAAAUCUGCGAGCUUAAAAAAAAAAUAUGCAGAGAAAAUUUGGACACAGCUACAGGGCUCGUCCUGCUGAAGGCUGAAUUCCCUUGGGAGAAUAUGGUGGGCAUAUCUGAAGCCAACCGUUGGCAGGGCCAGAGUAAAAAAUGUUAAGGCGUCCCCUUCUCGUUCUCUCCUUCUCUUGUUGACACCCCCUUUCUCUCUUUCUUUCAAUCCCUUCUCCCCUUUUCUCUCAUUAUGUCACCCCUGCUUGCUUACUCUCUUUCUCUCUCUUUGACACCCCUUUUCUUUCUGACACCUCCUUCUCUCUCCCAAAUGGCUCACUCGCAGAGAGCUCUUGAUAUUAGGCUGAAGGUCACAUGCAGAUCUCUGGCAGCAGGUUGCCCAUCUCUGCGUUAGGAUGUCAAACACAGAGACUGAAUAUUCAGGAGACAUGCAGCAAAUGUAAUAUUGGACCCAAAGCUGUCCAUGUGCUCUUGGAAAAGUUUUCCAACUUAGAGGGAAAGCUUUGUGGGAUAAAGGCAAGGGCUGUAGCUCAUUGGUAGGGCACAUGACAUUGUAUGUUCUCGGGCUUCCAAAGGCAUCUUAGUUGGUGCCAGUUGGAAACAAAAGUUCUGGAUUAUGAGGAUGUUGGUCUCUUCUAGCAUGACACACAUUAAAUCCUUAUUACUUUAUGUUCAUUGUGGAACAUCUUCUACUUGGACACUUGCCAGUGUUCAGAUCCAACCAAACUAUUGUUGUUUUCCUGUUGAAUGCAACUCUUUCCAGAUGAAAAUUAACCUCCAAUACAAUGGCUGAAAAUCUUGAUCAAGGGCUACAAGGUCUUCCCAGUUUGUUUGCACAUUCAUUCAGAGGUGCCCAUCUUUCAGCGCCUUGAUUAAGGCUAUUCACAAUCCUGGAAAAGUAGCUGAAUGUCUGUGGUUCUGCUAUGUUCCUUGAAUGCAGCUUUGCAGAAAAUUCAACGCUGAGUAUUUAUUUCAGUGCCUUUCUGACUUUGCUUCCUUCUAUUAUGCCAAAAGGAACAUUGAUGGUAAGAGAUGCAUCUCUCUUUCUGUCUGCGCAGCGUUGCCAAAAGGCACUUCUGUUUAUGUCUUAAAACUAUGACCAAUAUUUCAUGGACACCACAAAUGUUCAUAAUGCAGCCAGACGCUAGAGAGGAAAUUUCUUUACGCUGUUGAAGAGGGUUUAUUAAAGUACAUUUUUUGGAUUGAGGCAUCCAAAAUAAAUAAUCAUUUAUCUGAAGGCAGCCAAAUUCUAUGAAUGGCCAAAAACUUUGGACGCACCACCAAGGAAACUCUUGCUAAUAUAGAGCUCAAAGCAUAAUAAAGUACUUGUGAAUUUGGCAGUCUCCCAGCCCCACAGCCGAAAUCUUUGCCGGCGGCAACAGCGGAAAGCAAAUCCAUAUAAAGGAAAACCUUCUCCAAGUCUUUUCAGUAGUGCUGAACCUAAAAUGGGGGGAAAGAUUUUAUGGAAAUAUGUGACAAAAACUAACCAUCUUCUUUUUGAGCUGCACAUACACUCCAGUUUAAUCUAGAAGCAAUGGAGGCUAAGUACUCGGUUUUUUCUACCAUAGUUAUACGCAUUCUAGAUGCAUUACUUUUUUUGCUCUGAAAAUGUUUCCAAGAAUUAGAGAAAACUGUAGAGCUUGAAGGAACCCCAAGGGCCAUCUGGUCCCACCCCCUGCAAUGCAGGCAUCACAGCUCUUGAGAAACCGGUUUCAUUGCAAAAAUAAAAGCACACUGUAGAGGAGUCUGCGCCACCCGGCAGCGGGUCCAUUUGAAAACAGAUGUAAGCAGUUCCAGCAAUGGGGGCUGUAUCCACACCUGCCCAUUGACAUAUUCCUUGUGGUUAGCAAGGUCUACAAUCAAUCUAGCUUGAAAGCAGUAUGUUGAGGACAAGUACUAGGAAUUCUGGAUUGGGGCAGGGGUGCCACUGCAUUUUGCACUACAAACAGGUUGGUGUGCAUGCAGCCUUUUCAGGUCACUUUUCAGAGAUAAUUGCAAAAUAACUUUAAAAACAGGGUGCUAGAAUAAUUCCUGGCUGACUAGGAUCACUCAUGUAGUGAGCUUCAUUCAUCACCUGGUGCCUUUAUGCAGUCUUGCAGAUUCCUAAAUGGUAUUAAUCACACCAACAUGAUCGCAGUUUCUGCACAGUAUCUUGAAGCUGCAUUCAGGGCUGCCCCGCAAAAUGAGCCCUAGCUGUUGGGCACACCAAGACUAGGGAAGGCAAACCCACCAAUGUGUAAAACUGACCUAUGGCUGGUUAAAAUAACCACCACAAGGACAUCAAACCUCAGGAACCUGCAUCUCAUUAGCAGAGAUGCAGACUGAUGGUGGAAUUGGCACAAUGCAUAUGAGUAAAUGUUCAGAAUCUUCUAUGCGGUUCCUAGCAUAGGGCAAACGGCGUCUUGUUUUUAUUUUGUGACUUUGGCUCGGUCUGGGUCAGCGGAUCUUCAUUAUGCCUCACUUAGCUCAGCAGGGAAAGCAGGUUAAAAGAAUGUGGCAUCAUGUGCUGAAGCUCACUCUCUGAACAGAGACAUUCUUCGAGGGAAAGUGAAGGGGGGAAAGGGAGAUUGAAACAUGGGCAUGCUGGUUACUACAUUAAUCAGUCUUCCCUUCCGGUCCUAUGAUCUUUCACCAUCUUUGGGCUGUUGCAUCAACACCCGGGCAGGGACACCUUGACCACAGUAGUCCAUAACUGACAAUCUCAAGGCUGGAUUACUGCAAUGUGCUCUAUGUGCAGACUUGAGCCUGGUUAGCACGCUUCAGCUAGUAUAGUGGGCCCUCUAGAAAUGAAUUUAAUUCAUUCUGGGGGUCCAUGCACACCCCCAAAAAAUUCGCACCAGGGGAGCCCUUCUGUGCAUGCACGCGGCGCGAUUGAGCGCUUUUGUGCAUGCACACGGGGUGAAAUCCCAGAAGUAUACACUUCCGGGUUUGCCAUGUUUGCAACCCGAGGAUUACGUUACCCGAGGGUCCACUGUACAGAAUACCAUGGCUAGAUUGGUGGUGUGGGCAGAGUACCAUCAACAUGUGACACCAAACAGAGAAAGCCUAGACUGCCUUUCCAUCUGGUACUGGGCUAGAUGAAAGAUUUUUGCACCAGUGUGCAGAGCCCUGAAUGACUUGGGCCUACCUUACCCAGGUAUAGACGACCUAUCUGAGGAAGCACUAGUAGUGGUCCCCCAUAGUCUCGGGUUAACAAGGACCAUGCCUUCAUUGUAUUGGGCCCAACUCUAUCCAGUUCCCUUCUAUUAGGAAUCAGGCAGGCACAGUCCCUACUAAGUUUCAGAGACCAGGUUAAAAUAAUUUUAUUUCAGGAGACCUUUAGCAUUACGAAUACUUCUGUUUGGUUUUUCAACUUUCCAGUGUUUUAAUCUCUGAUACAAAGGUAUGGUUUGGGGGUGCUUGUUUUCUUUUUGAUCCUUUUUGGGGGGGGGGAAUGGUCGAUUUCUUCCAUGUUUCACAAGUCCACAAAGAUGCAUGAAAUAACCCAAGGGAAUCAAAACAACAGC